UCGAGCGGUAAGGCCCUUCGGGGUACACGAGCGGCGAACGGGUGAGUAACACGUGAGCAACCUACCCUUCACUUCGGGAUAAGCCUCGGAAACGGGGUCUAAUACCGGAUAUCACUUCCUGCUUCAUGGCUUGGGGUUGAAAGUUCUGGCGGUGGGGGAUGGGCUCGCGGCCUAUCAGCUUGUUGGUGGGGUAAUGGCCUACCAAGGCGUCGACGGGUAGCCGGCCUGAGAGGGCGACCGGCCACACUGGGACUGAGACACGGCCCAGACUCCUACGGGAGGCAGCAGUGGGGAAUAUUGCGCAAUGGACGAAAGUCUGACGCAGCAACGCCGCGUGAGGGAUGACGGCCUUCGGGUUGUAAACCUCUUUCAGCAGGGACGAAGCGAGAGUGACGGUACCUGCAGAAGAAGGACCGGCCAACUACGUGCCAGCAGCCGCGGUAAUACGUAGGGUCCGAGCGUUGUCCGGAAUUAUUGGGCGUAAAGGGCUCGUAGGCGGUUCGUCACGUCGGGAGUGAAAACUCGGAGCUCAACUCCGAGCCCUGCUUCCGAUACGGGCAGACUAGAGGUAGGCAGGGGAGAGCGGAACUCCUGGUGUAGCGGUGGAAUGCGCAGAUAUCAGGAAGAACACCGGUGG
rnacentral:rRNA from 1 species